CGUUCUGAAAAAUCUGCCGACUCCUCUAAUUUCAUUCCAUCUUUGGUUUUGGAUCCGAUUCUUUUGAUCCAACGCUUUCUGGGUCCGAUCGGAAUCCAAUGCUUAUCCGAUUCGUUAUUCUUUUUGCUCAACCCCCACGAAGUCCGAUUCGUUAUUCUUUUUGCUCAACCCCCACGAAAGUCAUAUACAUGAACACAUUUUAGAUUUUAAUUAGAUUCUGUUUUGUUUUCUUCAGAUUGUAAAAAUCACAGUAGGUUUUAAUUUAGUUGU
rnacentral:lncRNA from 1 species